rnacentral:rRNA from 1 species
AUUGAACGCUGGCGGCAUGCCUUACACAUGCAAGUCGAACGGUAACAGGGCUUCGGAUGCUGACGCGUGGCGAAAGGGCGAGUAGUACAUCGGUACGUGCCCAGGUGAGGGGGAUAACUGCACGGAAGAUCAGCUAAUACCGCACACGAUCUGAGGGAGAAAGCGGGGAAGCGCAAGACCUUGCGCAAUUGGAGCGGCCGGUGUGAGGUUAGGUAUUUGGUGGGGUAAAGGCCUACCAAGCCGACGAUCUGUAGUUGGGCUGAGAGGACGACCAGACACACUGGGACGGAGACACGGCCCAGACUUCUACGGGAGGCAGCAGUGGGGAAUUUUGGACAAUGGGCGCAAGCCUGAUCCAGCAAUGCCGCGUGCAGGAAGAAGGCCUUCGGGUUGUAAACUGCUUUUGUCAGGGAAGAAAUCCUCUGGGUUAAUACCCCGGGGGGAUGACGGUACCUGAAGAAUAAGCACCGGCUAACUACGUGCCAGCCGCCGCCGUAACAC